AUGUCGAUUGCAAACGCGAAAAUCCCGCCACCCCUGCCGGUGAAGAUGAAGCGACCGCUGCGCAAGUCCUUGGUGAAGGCCGAAGGGACGGAGCCCGGGGCCUGGAAGCUGUCGGAAGAGAGCGCGAAGAAGAGGAUGAGCAGCGUCGGGGUCGGGGGUAAAAAUAGCUCGGAGCUCAUCGAGAAGACGGCCAACAACGUGGUGAAGAUACGCGUGGAGUCGACGCGGCCGCGCGGCGGCGGCGGCUACGGCGGCGGCGCGGCGGCGAGCGAGGAUGCCGCUAGGUCGUUGCGCCAGUCCGUUAAGCCGUCGAGAGCGGUGCGCAUCAAUAUAACAAGUUCGGAGACGGAGGACGAGUUCCCGGCGAGCAAGUCCGUCGUCCGAAUCGCGACCGCUAACCCGCCGCUCCGGAGCCCGUUCGCCCAAGAGCCGCCGCCGCUCCCGGCCAAGAAGAAGCACCUCCGCUUCGGCGAGAAGCUCGCCAGCGGGCAGCACUCCCCCGACAGCGGGAACAGCAGCGACAUCGAGCGGGUCUCGCCGCCGGUCCAGCAGUGGGUCAGCGACGAGGAGGACCUCAGCUACGACUCGCUCAACAGCUGCGAGAGCGGAAGCCUGGAAGACAAGUUUCAGAGUAGGCUGGAUGACAAGCUGAGCCGGCUCCGCGACACCCACCUCCGGGCGCUCAUCCACGACCGGGAAUGCCGCCGCCUCGGCGACCGGCUCUCCCGCUUCAUCCUCGAGGACCCCGCCGACCACGACCACGACAUCGACACCGACCACGACAGCGGAGCCCCCAGGGACGAAGACCAGGACAUCUACCAGAACUUCCACGAGCCUCCCACCGAGCAGGACUCCGACUCCAUCUAUCAGAACUUGGACCCGGCCCAGCCGAACUUCACCCAGGAGAACUCCAAAGACGAGGCCUCCGAGCAGGACUUCGAGAAUGAGAUCUAUCAGAAUCUAGAUCCCCGGCUCUCUAUCAGAGUCACAAUGGCGCUCGUUCUCAAGAGACCUCUUUCAAAGCUCAUAUCUUGCAAAGCAUUCCCAAAAUCCAUGGACACAGUUUUUCUGAGCCAAAUUUCAAGGCCAAAGUCACGCAGGACGAGAGCCUUACGGCCAAAGUCAAUCAAAGUUUCUCCGAGGAGCAUCUCAAGGCAAAAGUCGCGCCGAGUCUCACCGGGGAGUAUCUCAAAACCAAAGUCAAGCCUGAGGACGGCUUCAAGGCAAAUGUCACGGAGAGUAACUCUGAGGAGUAUCUUAAAGCCAAAGUCACGCAGAGUUCCUCCGAGGAGGCAGAUGUCACGCAGAGUUCCCCUGAGAAGAGUCUCAAGGCCAAAGUCACGCAGAGCUCCACCGCCGAGGACUUCCAGGCCGAUGUCAUCCAAAAUUUCUCCGAGGAGACCUUCAGGGCCAAAGUCACGCUUUGUUCUCCUGAGGAGGACUUCAAAGUCAAAGUGA
rnacentral:lncRNA from 1 species